rnacentral:rRNA from 1 species
UACCGGCAGCCCAAGUGAUGGCCGAUAUUAUUGGGCCUAAAGCGUCCGUAGCUGGCCAGGAAGGUCCGUCGGGAAAUCCACUCGACUAACGAGUGGGCGUCCGGCGGAUACCGCUUGGCUUGGGACCGGGAGACCAGAGGGGUACGUCCGGGGUAGGAGUGAAAUCCUGUAAUCCUGGACGGACCACCGGUGGCGAAAGCGCCUCUGGAGAACGGAUCCGACAGUGAGGGACGAAAGCUAGGGUCUCGAACCGG